GUCCAGACUCCUACGGGAGGCAGCAGUGGGGAAUAUUGCACAAUGGGCGCAAGCCUGAUGCAGCCAUGCCGCGUGUAUGAAGAAGGCCUUCGGGUUGUAAAGUACUUUCAGCGAGGAGGAAGGCGUUAAGGUUAAUAACCUUGGCGAUUGACGUUACUCGCAGAAGAAGCACCGGCUAACUCCGUGCCAGCAGCCGCGGUAAUACGGAGGGUGCAAGCGUUAAUCGGAAUUACUGGGCGUAAAGCGCACGCAGGCGGUCUGUCAAGUCGGAUGUGAAAUCCCCGGGCUCAACCUGGGAACUGCAUUCGAAACUGGCAGGCUAGAGUCUUGUAGAGGGGGGUAGAAUUCCAGGUGUAGCGGUGAAAUGCGUAGAGAUCUGGAGGAAUACCGGU
rnacentral:rRNA from 1 species